rnacentral:rRNA from 1 species
AUUGAACGCUGGCGGCAGGCCUAACACAUGCAAGUCGGGCGAGCGGCGGACGGGUGAGUAAUGUCUGGGAAACUGCCUGAUGGAGGGGGAUAACUACUGGAAACGGUAGCUAAUACCGCAUACCAUCAGAUGUGCCCAGAUGGGAUUAGCUAGUAGGUGGGGUAAUGGCUCACCUAGGCGACGAUCCCUAGCUGGUCUGAGAGGAUGACCAGCAACACGGGACCGGAGACCCGGUCCAGCCUCCUACGGGGGGAGGCAGUGGGGAAUAUUGCACAAUGGCGGCAAGCCUGAUGCAGCCAUGCCGCGUGUGUGAAGAAGGCCUUCGGGUUGUAAGGCACUUUCAGCGGGGAGGCGUUACUCGCAGAAGAAGCACCGGCUAACUCCGUGCCAGCAGCCGCGGUAAUAC